rnacentral:rRNA from 1 species
GUGCCAGCAGCCGCGGUAAUACAGAGACCCCGAGCGUUAUCCGGAAUUACUGGGCGUAAAGCGCAAACAGCCGGCUGUAUUAGUCUGUCGUUAAAUCUCACGGCCUAACUGUGAGACCGCGAUGGAAACGGUAUAGCUUGAGCGGGUAAGAGGCACGCGGAACGUGUGGUGUAGGGGUGAAAUCCAUUGAUAUCACACGGAACACCAAAAGCGAAGGCAGCGUGCUAGUGCUCUGCUGACGGUCAAUUGCGAAAGCGUGGGGAUCGAAAAGGAUUAGAAACCCCCGUAGUCC